rnacentral:rRNA from 1 species
AAAAGGAGUAGGUAGUUUAACCUUCGGGAGGACGCUUACCACUUUGUGGUUCAUGACUGGGGUGAAGUCGUAACAAGGUAGCGCUAGGGGAACCUGGCGCUGGAUCACCUCCUUAAACGAUGAU